rnacentral:misc_RNA from 1 species
AACCAUUCUCACCUGCGGCUAGACCUGCGGAGGGAUCAUUACAAGUGACCCCGGUCUAACCACCGGGAUGUUCAUAACCCUUUGUUGUCCGACUCUGUUGCCUCCGGGGCGACCCUGCCUUCGGGCGGGGGCUCCGGGUGGACACUUCAAACUCUUGCGUAACUUUGCAGUCUGAGUAAACUUAAUUAAUAAAUUAAAACUUUUAACAAUGGAUCU